rnacentral:rRNA from 1 species
AUGAAUCAUCGGCGGUGGAAAGAGGCCAUGCACGACCCAAGUUUUACCAAAGAGGCGUUCAAUGCCCUCAACUCUGCGGAUGCAUAUAUUCGAGCUGCUCAGGAUGGACUUGCCAGAGCCACUCACCAGCUUCCAAAGGAUAUGCAGGCACUCAUGGCAAAAAAUAACACGUUGUCCAAGGAGCUUGAAGAAUGUUGGACCAAGCUAACUGUUGUCACCGCCGAACGGGAAAAUUUGAAGAAAUUCAAGAAGGCACCGGAUGCAGCAGGAUCGGCGAAUCAGUUGGAGGAGAGGCUAAAGGCUGCUGAGGUGGACAAAUAG